GCGAACGGGUGAGUAACACGUGGGUAACCUGCCCAGAAGUGGGGGAUAACACCUGGAAACAGAUGCUAAUACCGCAUAACAAAAUUAACCGCAUGGUUGAUUUUUAAAAGAUGGCUUCGGCUAUCACUUCUGGAUGGACCCGCGGCGUAUUAGCUAGUUGGUGAGAUAAAGGCUCACCAAGGCAGUGAUACGUAGCCGACCUGAGAGGGUAAUCGGCCACAUUGGGACUGAGACACGGCCCAGACUCCUACGGGAGGCAGCAGUAGGGAAUCUUCCACAAUGGACGCAAGUCUGAUGGAGCAACGCCGCGUGAGUGAUGAAGGCUUUCGGGUCGUAAAACUCUGUUGUUGGAGAAGAACGUGUGUGAGAGUAACUGCUCAUGCAGUGACGGUAUCCAACCAGAAAGCCACGGCUAACUACGUGCCAGCAGCCGCGGUAAUACGUAGGUGGCAAGCGUUAUCCGGAUUUAUUGGGCGUAAAGCGAGCGCAGGCGGUCUUUUAAGUCUAAUGUGAAAGCCUUCGGCUUAACCGAAGAAGUGCAUUGGAAACUGGGAGACUUGAGUGCAGAAGAGGAGAGUGGAACUCCAUGUGUAGCGGUGAAAUGCGUAGAUAUAUGGAAGAACACCAGUGGCGAAGCGGCUCUCUGGUCUGCAACUGACGCU
rnacentral:rRNA from 1 species